UCCAUUGUGAGUGGAUCCUCAGAUCCUGAAAUAAAAGGGUAACUUUUGCAAAAGUGACUUUGAGAACAAGAAAAAAUAAUUUAAAUAUCAGCAGUUAAGACUGCUUGCUUAUAACAAUGACUGCGAAGAGGUUAAUAAAUGGAAAACUCACCUGGAAAAAAAAUAUACAAGAAAGCCUCUGAUUAGAUAAUGAGUGGACUUUGUAUUGCUUGUACAAUGAUUGCCUGAAUUACUUACUUCCAAAUACUCAGCCCUGACUUUUUAAAUAAAAACCUUUAACCUGGUAUGAUCAUCCAGAGCAUAAGAGAUUUGUUAUUAAUUAAACUAUUUUCUGCAAUCAUGUUUAGAGGUUAACAGUACAAAGUGCUAUUCCAGAACCGUGGGAGUAAAAGAAGUGAUUCUUGCAAACUGUGGAAGAAAAGGAGAGGAGCAGAACUCAGUGCUGUCACUUUUCUCCAUUGUUGACUAACAUUUACCCAGAGAAUCAUAUCGUUGAGGUACAAAGUGAUGUUAGUGUUCCUACGCAAGUCGCUACUUCUAACAGCCUUUUUGAAUUACUUGAAGUACUCUCUUAAAAUAACUUCUGAUUUUGAAGAACUGCAAAAUCAGGAUCUUGGACAUUAUUGGGCUCCUAGCGUGACUUACAGUCAACUCCCUAGUAAGUGAAGCUGCAAUAAAAAACAAUGAGCUGCAAAUGUUUCUAUUUGUUGAAGACCAUUUGCACAGAACAGCAUGAAAGAAGGUUGAGCAACAUUGUUAUGGAGGGCUGUGGAUAACUGUGGAAGAAAGACUUAGCAAUAUGGAUCAGUGCCAGAGCAAACAGGAGAAGCUGCCAAACUCUUCCGCAGCUAUCUUCUGUCAUCUUAUCAGUACUUUUAAAUGAUAGGUAGCAUAGGUUUGGAAAAAAAGGCUGCCUCUAUUACCUCAGCAAAAUAUUUAAUAGCUUGGUGAGAUUUUACACACAAGAUAAUCACGGCAAGGGCCAAACAAUAAAACAAGUACAAAUUACAGUUAGGCAACUCACAGAAAGACAUGAAAAAUGACUCUUACGUCAUGAAGUUAUGGUACAUGAAAAAAACGGAGUGAAGUAAAAUUAGCAUCACCACGAGAUCAUCUUUUCUAAAUAUCUGGAGAACAAAGGAAGCACAAUAAAGUCAACAGACAUUCUAAAAUAUGGUCUUUAUUCCAACUAGCCUAAAAUUUUUAUUUUCUUCCAGAGGUCAUAUCCUGAAAUGGGGAGUCCAGGAAAAUUUCCAUUAUAAGUGACUUUGGAAAUCUGAACUAAGAUUUUUUCUUCCUAUAAGUUUUCUCUGAAAAACAAUGUGUUUUAAGAAAUACCACUGUUGAAAUCAAACUUACUUUAUAAAUGGUGCCUCAGAUCAAUAACUAGAAAUUAAUGAAUUAAACACGUUCAGUGUCUUGUAAUGUUGAAUGUUAAAUAAUAGAAAACCAUAAUAUUUGAAUGUUUCCUUUGAAGCAGCAAGCUGUAUCUAUUAGAGUACUGACAAAUCUUAGCCAAAGUUAAGAGUGUAACUGUACUUCUAUUUUAUAGGUGUUGAAGCUACUCCUUAUCCUGCAUUCUUUAGAAACUUAUACAUAUACACCUGUCAGAGGGAGAACCAUAAAAAAAGCUUGUAAUUUGUUUCAGACCUCAAGAAAGAUGAGCCUCAGAGGAAAUCACUGUGCCCAAAGUACCUCUGAUUGCACAAUAACAUGCAAUAAGUAAAGCAGGCAAAAUGGCUAUACAUUUCUUCAUUCUCUUUCCCAGCUUCCCUCCACAACACUUGGAACACCGUCAAAAAACCUGUAUACGAUGUGAGAGCAAUUAGGUAGAGGUAUGCUGCUGUGUGGUUUCUUAAUUUCUUAAUAUGUGCCAAUUUGGAUUUUUACCUCAACUCAGGCUACCAUCUUAUUUAACCAGGCUUAACCCCUUAUUUAACUGCAUUUAACAGAAAAAUCACAGAGGAAAAAAUGCAAGCAAGACAAAAUAUGUUAGACUUUAGUCGAAGGUUACACCUUUAGUCAGAGCAAUGGUUGCAUAAUUUGAAGCAGUGCUGGUUUGGCCAGCUUACUUGCCAGAGCCAAGCACCUGCUACUUCAGCAGAGCCAGCAGGGAACAGGUCGUACAGACCUCUGCACAGACCGAGGGUUAGUCAUUGCCACAUCUGGGCAGACUUUCACUAAAGCAGCCAAACAAAAGAUGUUUGGUCAGGCAGCCAAUUACUGUGCUUCAUUUCCUUUGAUCUAUUAUGUAAAGACAACAUCAGGGUGAAGAAACAAAACGUUUCAGUGAGCUAUUUGAUGUAGGUGAGGAGGAACAACAAAAAAGUCUGGAUAUGAUCUAGAAGGGUGAAGUAAUUGCGAUGGACUGAAUAAAGCAAGCUGAGGGGAAGUGGAAGAUUAGUGGUUGGGUUCUGACCACCAGGAGACUCAUCUCCUAGACAAUGCUGUACCAUCUCGCACAACAGUGCCAUCUGAACAUAGACAGUGAUAUGUCAGCUUCCACAAGAGCUCAGCUAUCCUCUUAUUCACACAUUUUCAGUGGCCAUGCCUGAUAGCCACUACCCUAUCAGAAUCUGCAGCUGAGAGAUGGAUGGAUUUCAAGCUAAAAACUUGCACGCCAUCCACCCCUAGCACUGAGCCAGAGAAAGCUGCCUUAAGCAUUUUAUAUUUCCAUUCUGUUCGGGAGUGUUGCAACUUAGUUUGUUAACACUCUCUUCCAUCAUUCUUAUUCUUCAGUAAUUCUUAGAAAAUAUUUGCACAAAGUCAAACAGGUUCUUGAGAUCUAAGUGGAGAGAACAGAAAAGAAACAAUUCUUCGCCAGCCAUUCAUGUAUAGACAAACACUAAAUUCUGUUAAUGCUGAAACAAUAAUCUCAUUGUUAUACAAAGGCUUACUGCAUCAAAAAAAGGUAUUGAAAUAAAUAUAAAAAACCAGAAUUCUCAGCAUGAACAAAAGUCAUUCAAAAAAUGAACAAAAGUUUAAAAAUGGUAACAAGUGAGAGGAAUAAUGAAAGAAUAAGCACUGAUGUUAACAGCCACAGCAAGUCUGUACUGAACAUUUUUUAUCAUAUACUAUCAAACAGGAUGUGCAGUUUUGCUUCUGUCUUGUUUCAUUACAGUUUUACAAUAUUUGAGUUGAACUGAAACAAGAUUGAGGUGAGUGUUUCAAGGUUUUCAAGAAAUUAUCAGAAUAGUGUGCCCACGUUCCUCUGAAGAAAAGGUUGAAGUAACCUGCAUCUAAUGUUUUCUUUCAAGGUAAACUAUCAUCACUUAACAAAACAGGUCAGGCUGUAAUUUCUAGGCUUGGGGAGAAAAAAAAAAUACAGUUAUUCUGCUCUGGUAAGCAGGAUGUAAAAAAAAAUAAUAAUAAAAACACCUGAAAAUAAGCUUCAGCACAGCUCCUGAAGGCCUGUUUUCUCUCAGAAAGCAAUGAAGUGAGACCUCCAAUUGUACUAGAGUUGAAGUUCAACUUUGGGUGGAACUUCACCAUGACAUAGUUCAAGCUUUUAUUGUACUACUAAGUCACAUCAGCUCUAUACAGCAAUCCAGGCUGUAAAAAUAUCACCACCAGUGAAUCUGAUAUCAAGCUAUUUCACUUGCUCCUUUUACACCAGUGUCUCAUUGUUUAGCCUCAAUUAGCUGUCAGAUUACGGAAAGAGGCAAACUUUGCACACACAGGGCAUUUUUGGGAAUCUUCAGUCUAUGUGAUCCAUCCCCACAACUGAAAUCAUCUUGAACAAGAAAAGGACCUCUGAACUUCUCAUGUGAAAAAUUUUCCUAAGAAAAGUAUAGUGGUACUUUACUAACGGGACAAAAGAGAGAGGGAAUGUGACACAGACUUUGCUAGUACCUUUAAUGGUUACUUGGGAGAUGGUGGUUGAGCACAGAUUAUAAAGGUCUUUAUCUCUGAUACCAGAUCAAAGAUUUAAAUGGGAAUCUAGCCGUUACUGAGUCAAACCACAGAUUUGGCAAACUUGCUUUAGUUACAUUUGCAAUCUCCAAAAUGGAGCAUUGUAUCUUCUUUCAGUUCUGCCCAAACCAGCUUUGUGCAAUUGCCCAUUACAUCCUCAGUGUCAGCUGGAUCAAGUGCUCAAAUUCAGCUUUGUAUGUCAUACCCUGGGUCAUCUCAACACAACUAUGAGGUCAAGUCUUAGUUCCAACUAAAUUCUAGAAUACUGCCUAUGAAGGAAGGCCAAGCUUUACCAUGGACUGUGUAUCUUGACAUAAUCCAGCAACAACAAAAGAUAGAACAUGCACUGUAUCUCUGUAUUGAUCCAUUUCUGCAAUAUUGUGUUGAAGCCUCAAACUCCGCGACAAGAAAUACCCCAAGUACAGAACGGUUUGGCUUGAGGGUACAUGGUCUCAGGCACUGCUGUACCACAGAUUCAAGCAGCACUCUCUUUUCAGAAGGCUUUGCAGAUUGAGAAGGUUCCGAACAG